rnacentral:tRNA from 1 species
UAAGACACCGCCCUUUCACGGCGGAAUCAUGGGUUCGAUUCCCGUACGGGUCA